UGGAUGAUCUCUACAAAGGAGGUGUAGGCUGUGGAGCAGAAGCCAAAAUUUGGUUUUCUCAUCCCCAGCACCUUCCUGAUUGGGGGAACUCGAUGCGCCUGUGAGGCUCCCGAAGAUGCUCCCGCUCCCAGUGGCAUAUUCCAUGAAGAUGAUUCAAAGGUGUGUGGAAUUGGAACAGUUUGGUUUCUAGUUAGUUACUUUAGUGAAUAAUUCUACUUUAUAAUAGAAACUUUAAAAAUUCAUCUAUGUCUACUUGUCAAGAAGAAGAGAAAAAUGGAGCUGCAUUGAUCUUAAGGAUUUAAAAGUAAAGGACUUUGCAGAUUUUCUCAUCCAACAUCUUCUUUCAACAGCUAAGGAAACUGAGAUGCAGAGAAGGAGUUUCAGAAGUAUUCUGAUGCAAUCUGUAAAAUCUCAGAUUCCAAGAGGAGCAGGAAACCUCAUCAUUUCUAGAGAAUUCCUCUUCAUUUUAGAGCCUGUUGGAGGUAAGUGCCUUUGGAGAAUAUACCUUUCCCUCUGUUUGUGUCUUGCCUUUAUUUAUCAUCUGAGGAUUGUUGAACAAGGUUAUCUCUGUUAUACCUUUCAAAGAAUCUUGCAUACCCUUCAUGUAUAGAUGGGAAACACUUGGUUGAAGGAGAAUCUUUCAGGCAGUGGUUUGCUCUCUCAAACCAAUGCUCUUUUAUAUUACACAAAUAAUAAGAUCAGUGAGAUAUUGUAUUCUCUAUGUGUUUCAAUCCACAGUGUGGUGGUAACAAUGUAAUCACUAUGGAAACUUUGUUGAAGAAGACUCGGCUGUUCCUUACAAAUAUCUUCAUUAAAGCCACCUCCAAUGCAUCUGUAGAUGAUUGUUAAUAAAAAUAUUCUAUAGAUGGGAGAAGAGGCA
rnacentral:lncRNA from 1 species